ACGCCGAGGGCUUUAAUGUCCGUCGCUCCAAAUCUUUGUUGUGACGAGACAAAGAACCGAGGAACAUACACUCACGUGACAUCUAUGGUGCCGUGACUUGGAUAUAACCUGGCUGAAACAACCUCUGCAUGGAAGAGGCCAAGCAGAGCAGGAACCCAGCUCAGUGAAGCUCCCACACUAGAAGCAGAAGGUAAAGAAACCCAGAGCAGGGGAAGGCCCAUCGUGCUGGGAACCGGGACAGAGAAAAACGAACUCAGCAGAAAGCUCACGCGGUCCAGUCUCAGAUUCCAGAAGACCUCCGGUUAAGAGAUGCAAAGACCUCCCUAUGCACCUCAGAGUGAAAGGGGAAGCAAAAAUGAAGAUGCUUUUGUAACGGAAUGGACUUUGUAACAAAAGGACUUGUAUCCAGAAAUUCAAAGAGCUCACAAGACUCAAUAAUAAGAAAAUAAGCAACUCAACUUUAUUUUUUUAUUCACUUUUAUUAAUAACCAUGUAUUAAUUUCACAUAGUUGAAAUAAAACCUUUUACAAUCCACGGUA